rnacentral:rRNA from 1 species
AAGACCCUGUUGAGCUUGACUCUAUUCUGAAGCUGUUGAGCGACUUUAGAGGUGUAGCAUAGGUGGGAGCUUCGGCGAUACUGAAAUACCACUACUCUCGAGCUCGUUCUGCUAAUCUCGCUAACCCGAUCCAAGACGCCCCGAUCAAUCCCAGGAUGCUUGGGGGCGCGCUACGCGCGUGUAUUAAUGGCUUGUGGUUUGCUUGGCAAUACCUCUAUCGGAAACGAGAGACACCUUCAGAUGGGGAGUUCGGCUGGGGCGGUACACCCGCUAAAAGAUAACGCGGAUGUCCUAUGAUCAGCUCAUCGAGGACGGAAACCUCGUGUAGCGCGCAAGGGUAGAAGCUGAUUUGAUUUCGAUUCUCAGUAGGAAUCUGAACUGCGAAAGCAUGGCCUAGCGAUCCUUUAGCCUUUCUGGAUCUGAAGCUAGAGGUGUCAGAAAAGUUA